UUGAGCAGACACGCCGCAAUGUAACUGGAAUACUGUUAAAAGCGGCGUUAAAAACCCAACUCACUCACUCACCUUGAAAAUGACCUUGUAAAGAUAAUUCUGGCUCGCAAGUAAAUAUAUCACGGUACAAAUAUAAUCACACGUGUUCAUGGAGAAACGUCAACGUCAUUCUUGUCCACGGUGUCAUUGUUUACUUUAGACCAGUUAUACCCCGCUUAUACCCGGAAGUGCAUUAUUUCCUAGAAGUUGAUUGCGCGCCAUUGCACUGUACAAGGUCCGUUCACAAUUACCUGCCUUGAUAUUCAAGAAUGUCUAAGUGUUCUCCUUUAACAAGGUCGAAUUGCCAAUGCCUUCUAAAUACUCAAGGCUUACACUGGAAUAUGUGGCCAAUAGGAAAGAUCGAAGGAAUCUACACAAUCAAACAGGGCGGAUUCGUCAUCUAUGUGGGGCGGUCCGAAAACAUACCACAACGUCACACUGCUCCGGAAAAAAGCAACGCAUCGAUAAACUCAUUCGUCGUACCAAUACCAGGAGCCUAACAUACAACUACGUGCAUGACGCCUUCCAGAGGUGCAAUGAACACUACUACGUACACCUGAUUGGUCAAUUGCAAGGUAAAUUGCCGAAGUGCAACAUGCAGAAAGGAAAUACCUGUGACAGCCCGAAAAAAAGUAAGAAAAAGUAAACCCUGCGACAAGGAAACAAGCGUGUGAUUCUCUGGACUGAAAUAUCAGGGGAUUGGGAUGAUGCCGUUGGAGAUUCACCUGGCGCACCUAUAGCCAAUUUGAAUGAAAUGUACAUCUGAGAUUUGUGCUGAACACAACUUUGUAAGUGAAGUGGAAUAACGCAGUUCUGACGGCAUUUUAGUAAUAUCACAUAACUUUUAAAUAUAUCAAUGAAAUUGCCAUGAUCCCUAGUCAAUAAAAUUAUACUUAUGUGUGAAGAACUCCCGAUGUAAAGCCAAGGGAGUUAAGACAACAUGAAAAUGAAAACAAAAUGGUAAAGAAUGAAAAAUACUGAUGAAUGGAUUUGACGUUUCCAAAAACAAAUCAUCUUUACUGACAAAGGAUGAACAUGCUGUAGUUAACAUGGUUGCCAAAGUAACGUAAAAUAAACCUUCAUCUCUUCAAAA